CCCCUCCAGAAAUUGCCAAAGUUGAGCUACCACUAUUUGAGCUUGAAGUUGAAUUCUCUUGCCUGAGAACUUCGUUCUAGAGAAUCAUUAUAUAUACGGUGACUUCGCCCAUCUUAAUAGUGCUCUUUUCCACUAGAAGAGUGAUCAUCAAGGAUCCAUACGAAAGAGAAAGUGAUGUUAGCAAGACCAAUGCCUUGAUCUUCUCCUCUACUUUCUCACCAAUGCUGAGGAGGUCGGUCAGGAUCUUCUGAAAGUGACUGAGAUACUCCUACAC
rnacentral:lncRNA from 1 species